rnacentral:rRNA from 1 species
UGGGGAAUAUUGCGCAAUGGGGGAAACCCUGACGCAGCGACGCCGCGUGCGGGAUGAAGGCCUUCGGGUUAUAAACCGCUUUUGAUUGGGAGCAAGCUUUCGGGUGAGUGUACCUUUCGAAUAAGCGCCGGCUAACUACGUGCCAGCAGCCGCGGUAAUACGUAGGGGGCUAGCGUUGUCCGGAAUCACUGGGCGUAAAGGGUUCGCAGGCGGAAUAACAAGUCAGAUGUGAAAGGCAUGGGCUCAACCCAUGUAAGCAUUUGAAACUGUAAUUCUUGAGAAGUGGAGAGGUAAGUGGAAUUCCUAGUGUAGCGGUGAAAUGCGUAGAUAUUAGGAGGAAUACCUGUGGCGAAGGCGACUUACUGGACACAAAUCUGACGCUGAGGAACGAAAGCGUGGGUAGCAAACAGG